CAAUAGCGUAUAUUAAAGUUGUUGCGGUUAAAAAGCUCGUAGUUGGAUUUCUGCCGAGGACGUCCGGUCCGCCCUCUGGGUGUGUACAUGGUACGGCCUGGGCAUCUUCUUGGAAAACGUAUCUGCACUUGACUGUGUGGUGCGGUAUCCAGGACUUUUACUUUGAGGAAAUUAGAGUGUUUCAAGCAGGCCUACGCCUUGAAUACAUUAGCAUGGAAUAAUAAGAUAGGACCUCGGUUCUAUUUUGUUGGUUUCUAGAGCUGAGGUAAUGAUUAAUAGGGAUAGUUGGGGGCAUUCGUAUUUAACUGUCAGAGGCGAAAUUCUUGGAUUUGUUAAAGACGGACUACUGCGAAAGCAUUUGCCAAGGAUGUUUUCAUUGA
rnacentral:rRNA from 1 species